AUACCGGCGGCCCGAGUGGCGGCCACUAUUAUUGGGCCUAAAGCGUCCGUAGCCGGGCUGGUAAGUCCCCCGGGAAAUCUGGCGGCUUAACCGUCAGACUGCCGGGGGAUACUGCCAGCCUAGGGACCGGGAGAGGCCGGGGGUAUUCCCGGGGUAGGGGUGAAAUCCUGUAAUCCCGGGAGGACCACCUGUGGCGAAGGCGCCCGGCUGGAACGGGCCCGACGGUGAGGGACGAAGGCCAGGGGAGCGAACCGGAUUAGAUACCCCAGUAGUCC
rnacentral:rRNA from 1 species